AUGAUGAAAGAUUGUCAAGCUUUUAGGGUCACUCUUCUCUUGGCAUAUCUUGUUCUAGUCACCAGAGGAAAAGAUGUCAGUGCUACAGAAAUAUGGAUGGAAGGAGGAGAUGUCGUUGACUGCGUUGAUGUGAAUCUUCAACCAGCUUUUAACCACCCAUUAUUGAAAGACCACAAAAUUCAGAUGGAACCAAGCUCCUUUCCGAAUGGACUAAAUAUCACAUCUCCGUUCCUACAUGAUGUAUUUGAAGCACAUCCGCCUAUCGUUGAAUGCCCAAGAGGAACAGUUCCAAUACUACGUAACAGUAGAAUGGAGCAUAUAGCAGGACAACUCUAUAUUAAUGGAGUGAUUAGCAAGGAUAAUCAACAAGAGGUGGCAGGAAUCAAAUAUUAUGGUGAUGUAUAUGGGGCGAGAGCUAUAAUAAAUGUUUAUGAGCCAAAGGUGAAGAAAUCUAGUAAAGAUCUCAGUGCAACAAGUAUUCAAAUUGAUAACUUCGGACCAAAUGGCCUUGAUAGUAUAGUUGUUGGAUAUUCGGUAGCUCCAAACUUGGCUGGUGAUAGCUCGGCAAGGUUUCAUGUUUCUUGGGGUGAAGAAGGCGGACAAAGCAAGUCAUGCUAUGAUCACACAUGCCCUGGUUUUGUGCAAGUAAACCACAACUUUGUUCUUGGAGGAAGAUUACAACCUGUUUCAGUCUAUAAUGGAAAACAAUAUGUGAUUACGGUCCUUAUUUACAAGGACUUAAUGACAAAGAACUGGUGGGUAACAUAUGGUGAAGACAAUACACCCAUUGGAUAA
rnacentral:rRNA from 1 species